UCCAGACUCCUACGGGAGGCAGCAGUGAGGAAUAUUGGUCAAUGGCCGCAGGGCUGAACCAGCCAAGUCGCGUGAGGGAGGACGGUCCUAUGGAUUGUAAACCUCUUUAGGCGGGGAGCAAUGCCGGGCACGCGUGUCCGGAGGGAGAGUACCCGCAGAAUAAGCAUCGGCUAACUCCGUGCCAGCAGCCGCGGUAAUACGGAGGAUGCGAGCGUUAUCCGGAUUUAUUGGGUUUAAAGGGUGCGUAGGCGGAUUUUUAAGUCAGCGGUAAAAUGUCCGGGCUCAACCCGGGCCGGCCGUUGAAACUGGCUGUCUUGAGAUGUCGAGAGGUAUGCGGAAUGCGCAGUGUAGCGGUGAAAUGCUUAGAUAUUGCGCAGAACUCCGAUUGCGAAGGCAGCAUACCGGCGGCGAUCUGACGCUGAGGCACGAAAGCGUGGGUAUCGAACAGGAUUAGAUACCCGAGUA
rnacentral:rRNA from 1 species